UACGAAGGGGGCUAGCGUUGCUCGGAAUCACUGGGCGUAAAGGGCGCGUAGGCGGCGUUUUAAGUCGGGGGUGAAAGCCUGUGGCUCAACCACAGAAUGGCCUUCGAUACUGGGACGCUUGAGUAUGGUAGAGGUUGGUGGAACUGCGAGUGUAGAGGUGAAAUUCGUAGAUAUCGGGAGGAACACCGGUGGCGAAGGCGGCGACCUGGGUAGAUACUGACGCUGAGGUGCGAAAGCGUGGGGAGCAAACAGG
rnacentral:rRNA from 1 species